CAAAAUCAAAAUACCAAAUGAAAACUUCACGGCACUUUUGGUAUUUAUUAGUAUCAAAUCACUUGUUAAGUUGGCUGCGAUUGGGACGACUUCCUUUUCCGUGUUAGCUGUGAGAGAAAAAACAUGCCGCUAGCAAAAGAUUUACUGCACCCUCUGCCCGCUGAGGAGAAACGCAAGCACAAGCUGAAGCGCUUGGUGCAGCACCCCAACUCCUAUUUCAUGGAUGUCAAGUGCCCGGGAUGCUACAGAAUCACAACCGUGUUCAGUCACGCCCAGGGCGUUGUGGUUUGCGCUGGUUGCGCCACCAUUCUGUGCCAGCCAACUGGAGGACGCGCUAAGCUGACAGAAGGCUGCUCGUUCCGCAGGAAGCCACAGUAAUUUGGAACGCUUCUUGAUGAACCACAAAUUAUUAAUUUUUUAAUAAACACUCUAAAAAACACGUCGCUGUUUUGCAAAUGGAGAAACGGAGCCACAACAACACCAAGAAAGGCACAAAGUCAUGUCAACAAAACAUUUCGGCAGCGGCAGCAGCAACAACUUAAAUAAGAAGUAGUUUUAAACUGCAUGUAUAAGCCAAGAACAUCUGGCAAUUACAAUAAUUGAUGAAUUAACCGGCUGUAAAAUAGAAAGGACGCUUUUAAUAUAAUGAUUUUGGAAUUUCUUCGUGUAAGCCUGAGCUCCAGUUCAUUAAAGAAUUAACGAUAUUGUGGUUAACAAUGUGAAUUGGCGUGUUGCAUUGUUUUUUCAGUGGUAGACUGAAUUGAACCAAUAAAUGUUAUCGCUUUGAAA